CUACAGCCAGACCUCCUCUGAUACCAACGCUUGUGGCACCCCGGCUUAGAGGAAACCGGAACGCCCCGUAUUCCAGCCCAGGGACAAGUCUUCUGGAAUACGGCACCGUUGGCAUAGAACAAAUCAGCUCUUUAUUACUAUGAAAAAAGGUUACAAGGGUACUUGGAUUACAUCGCCACGGCGAUAUUACGCCUGCCUACGGUAAUUCUACACUAGCAACGGAACAACGAGGUGGUGAUGGGCUCCCGUCUGCAGUGACUCUGGCUGGAACGUGUAUCCUAGAUCGCAACUUGGGAUCCUCGACAAGCAAGCAAUCAUGGCAUGACCUGCAAACUGGCAUGACACGUCAGGUGAGUACUUUGAAUGUACUCGCAAGCUCACAACAAACAUCAGCAUUAAGACAAGACAACAUCAUAGUAAUCAAUAUUAGGUAAAGAUUCAUCAGCACCAAAGGGAUAGUUGAAAAUAACUAUACCAGGCUACUCUCACCGUACUCUGGUGACCAACUCGUGAUCUCACCAAGAUCCUUCAGUGAAUAUCCUCAACACGGACACCAAGACUUGUCACCGGCAUGAUGCCCAACUGCUACCAUACUCAUACGAGUUCUUCCAUCAUUAUCAUCACUAUCAUGGUUAUGGUUGACCACCUAGUAAGGUCUGGACGGGUGUCCAAUACCGUGGACGCGGCUAUUCAAAUAGAUUUUUCACUCUGCAGAGGUUGUGCACUUUACCCACAUCAUGGAGCGUCUGACCUCGUGAUCCCAUUCGGGUGGACCUGUGUUGCUCCAACAAAACUUGCCUGACCCGUGACUCCCCCUCCAUACCACCGGCAUUCAUCCUCCCCCGGAGUCGUGCCCUGGGUGGCCCCUGUGUCCUCAUGACACCUGCCACCAUCGUGGCCAAACUAAACUGUCCCAAACGAAGACGGGCCCAAACAACUCAACAGGGCUCACAAGGUUACAAUCGCCUACCAGGCCAGGGUAGCGCGCAUAACCUUUCCUCUUUGGUGGUACAAAUAAAAGAGCACGCGAUCGGACCAAGUCAAGGCCAUCCCAUACCGGCAAAUGUGGCUGAACGGAUAAGCCCCAACAGGUGACUCCUGAUCAACCAACUAAGUAUAUUAUCCCCCAAAUAAUAUUUAGAUCAUAGCUGACACUCCAAUAUCAUAGUAAUCCAGUAACCAAUAAGCUCAAGCCACUGCUAUUGAUUCAUAUCCAUAGACUGCCGGAUGAAACCUAAAAUAAUCAUAGACAAUAAUCUUGAACAGCAUGGCACUAACUAGUGUGUAAAAUACUAGUUACUAAUCCCGUACUCAACAUGGUAGUCACCUCAGAAUUUAUUCAAACAUUGCAUAAUCUAAUCCAUACUACAAAUAAUUAUGAUUGCGACUAAAUUAAUUGAUUAAACUAUGAUAUUGCAAUGCAAUUAUGCAAAUGAGGGUUGUGGCUUGC
rnacentral:lncRNA from 1 species